UACGGAGGGGGCUAGCGUUGUUCGGAAUUACUGGGCGUAAAGCGCACGUAGGCGGCUUUGUAAGUUAGAGGUGAAAGCCCGGGGCUCAACUCCGGAACUGCCUUUAAGACUGCAUCGCUAGAAUUGUGGAGAGGUGAGUGGAAUUCCGAGUGUAGAGGUGAAAUUUGUAGAUAUUCGGAGGAACACCAGUGGCGAAGGCGGCUCACUGGUCCGGUACUGACGCUGAGGUGCGAAAGCGUGGGGAGCAAACCGG
rnacentral:rRNA from 1 species